AUUGCAUUCCAAGAAAAGAUGAAUAUUUGUGAUGGAUGGCUACUCUAUUUAUAGCAUACAUUCGACUUAAAAUCUAAGCAAUUACAUUCGGGCUAAAAAUAGAGUAGCUUAAAAUCUAAGCAAAAGCAGCAAAAGUAACUCUGGAGGGUGGCACGGCCGUGCCAAUGCUAGCACGGGCCGUGCCAAGCUUCUGACUUUGGGGAGACAUAUUUUUGUCUCUCAAUCUUCGUAUUUUCGCAUUCAAUCAGCUCCAAGUCCCUUUCUUUUGCUCCAAGAC
rnacentral:lncRNA from 1 species